CAGUUCAAGUUGUCUUUGCUCUUCAUCAGCGACUGCGACCGGUAACCGGCGCCCAACUGAGUGAUUUUUAUCAAAAAUAUAAAAAAUCUUUGCAAAAAAACCCUAAAAUGGUUUAAAAAAAUAAUAAUAAUCCUCCGGUGUGGCGCGAGAACCAAACCAAAGGAAUUCACCAGAAGCAGCCUGCACAAGAUAAGACGACAAGUGACGCCAUCUGUACUACGAGUAGGAGUCUGAAACAUCCAAAAUAGAUCAACCAGAACGUCCCAUGCUGUUCCUCAUUUAUUUAUAAAAGUACUGUAGAUACGAGCAUCCGCGCUAAAAUUAAAACAACAACGGACGAUCCUAUAUAUUGUAAAUCAUGCCCUUAUCCAGCAAACCUUAGAGAAGUGGUGGAAAAACAAAUGAAAUGUUAAGAGAUGAAAUUAUUAGUCCUUCUCUCUUGUGGAUAGUGCUAAAAAAACAGGCGCAUCUCGGAAAAAAAUGCAUAUCCGAUCCCGGAUAUAAAUAACAUUUUAGCAAGAUUAGGCGAGUGUAAACACUUUAACAUCUGGAUUUCACCAGAUCAAGAUGAAAGAAAAAGAUAUAGAGAAGACAGCAUUUUCAACAGCUAAGGGUAAAUAUGAAUUCACCAGGCUGCCUUUUGGGUCUAAAUAUGCGCCAUCUAUUUUUCAAACGAUGCUUAAUGAUGUUUUGAAACCUUUAAUUGGUAAAAGCUGAUAUGUCUAUAUCGACCACAUCAUUAUUGUAGGAAAUGAAAAAGAAGAACAUUUAAAACAGUUAGACGUUCUAUUUGCAUUGAUGGGCUAUUUUUGGGUUAUGUUGUUACACAGGGUGCAAUCCUGCCCGAUCCUGAAAAAAAUUUCUUCUUUAAAAGGGAUAUUACCGAUUAAAAACUUGAAAUAACUAAAAAGAUUUCUAGGAUUACAGGAAAUUACGCUCAGACAAAAGCAAAUCAACCAAAAAAGUUGAAUAGCCUUUGGAGCUGUUCUUCAACAAGGAGAAAUUGGCAAAGAUAAACCAAUUACUUAUUCUCAAGAUCUUUUAACAAAACAGAAGAGAAUUAUUCCACUAUUGAAAAGUAAAUGCUUGCUAUCAAAUGGGCAGUUGAUAAACUUAGGACUUAUUUUUACGCAUCAAAGGAAAUAAAAAUUGGCUAAAUGAGUCUCAGACCGCCCCCCUCACAAAAUUACACUCACACACCACACACAUUACAUACACCACGUCAUCAUUCCACACCAUGCGCACACAAAUACCACCACAUCACGAAUCUGACAUACAUGAGGACACCAUACAAAAAAGAACAAAAGGGACCAACGGACAGGGCACAUCGCAUACGUUUCUCCGUGCCCCCUUUUAAUUUCGAUUUUCUUUCCGCAUUUUUUAAUACUCGUAUUACAAGGUGAGUGCCACGAAAACGACACACAAAAUGGACAAAAAAAAGUGAGGUGUCAAAUGUGGAAAAUAGCAUCAAAAAUACAUAAAGUUGGAAAAACAAAAAAAAAAGUUAA